CAAAAGCUCAAAUUUGAAAUCUGGCACUUUCAGUGUCCGAGUUGUAAUUUGAAGAAGGUAUCUUUGGGUCUGGCUCUUGUCUAUGUUUCUUGGAACAGAACGUCACAGAGGGUGAGAAUCCCGUGCGAUGAGAUGUCCCAGACCUAUGUAAAGUUCCUUCGAAGAGUCGAGUUGUUUGGGAAUGCAGCUCUAAGUGGGUGGUAAAUUCCAUCUAAAGCUAAAUAUUGGCGAGAGACCGAUAGCGAACAAGUACAGUGAUGGAAAGAUGAAAAGAACUUUGAAAAGAGAGUGAAAAAGUACGUGAAAUUGUUGAAAGGGAAGGGCUUGAGAUCAGACUUGGUAUUUUGUAUGUUACUCUCUCGGGGGUGGCCUCUACAGUUUACCGGGCCAGCAUCAGUUUGAGCGGUAGGAUAAGUGCAAAGAAAUGUGGCACUGCUUCGGUAGUGUGUUAUAGUCUUUGUCGAUACUGCCAGCUUAGACUGAGGACUGCGGCUUCGGCCUAGGAUGUUGGCAUAAUGAUCUUAAGUCGCCCGUCUUGAAACACGGACCAA
rnacentral:rRNA from 1 species